UUGACUUUCCCCACGAGGGCACCACCCCAGCUUCAGCCUGUCCCUUGGCUCGCCCUCCAUCCCAGCGUGGCAUUCCCUGCCGUGGUGCCCGGCCUGCCUGGAGCUCGCGGCGCCUCAGCCCCAGGGCUCCGCAGGCCACCACGGCCACCGCCGGCUUUAGGAGCUGGAUGGGGAGCACAUCCUCCCUGCCAAGCCUCUCUUCAAAAGGACUUAGAGCCGUGUCUAAGGGCUGAUGGGGAAGGCAGGGUACCCCAAAGACAGGUGGUGGCUGAAUUCAGAGCAACUGGCUCAGGGCAUCCCCCAGCAAAGUGUUCAAAACCCACUUCUGGGGGAUAACAGGAGAGAUGAAACACAUCUCAUGCCAUCCUCAGCAGUCCCUGAGGGGGAGAGAUGGCUAGCAGCCACCAGCACUCUUUCUGAACCAAGAUGAUGAUGGAUCAAGGUACAGAAGUGGGCAAGGUUCAGAGAUUUUAGCCUAAAUAGCUGUAAUUCCCAGAAUGGGAUGGGGGCCAAAGGGAAUUCACUGAGGCAGUCAGGCUUUCCAGCAGCCUGGCAUCUCCUUAGUCCACAAUGGAAAUUAAUCACUGAACUCAGGGAAACUCACCUUAAAUGAAGAAAAAAAACCACAAAACAAACACCACCAACUUUGCUGAGGAGGCACUUUAAAUGAAAAAAAUCAAACUCCACGACUAUGCACAUCCAGCCUGUUGAAAUGACACCGCAAUUAAAACUUAAUGAAAAGCGCC